UAGUGUGGAAGGCAGUCACUAAGUUUGGUCUAAUGGAAACCACAUAUGAAGAUCUAAUUCAACACCAUGAGUUACCCCCAGAAGUUAAAUAGGUCCCUAAUUCAGCCUGCUGCAUAAGGUUGUAUCAUAAAAGAGAAACGUGUUCUGCUCCCUGCUUAGUAAGAAAUGCUGCUUACUUCUCCAGCUUUUGAAGCACAGGUUUUAUGUUUGUUUGUUUGGGAUAGAAUCUCACUCUGUCACCCAGGCCAGAGAGCACUGACAUUGUCAUGGCUCCCUGCACUCUCAAACUCCCAAGCUCAAGCAAUCCUCCCACCUCAGCCUCCCAAGUAGCUGGGACUACAGAUUCUCCUGUUUGCUUCCUAAGACAGAAGAUAAAUGGGAGGAAAAGGAUCAAAUGUGAAAAUUCUGAGAAAAAAAAAAUCUGGGCCAUCCAUCCAUCACAACUGUUCCAAGUAGAAGAAUCCCCUAUAAAAGGAGAUGAGCAUGUUCGAAUAUUAAGCACUUAAAAUGAAGAUUAUGUUUGGAAAUCAAAAUGUAAUUUUGAUAACUCAUUAAAAGUAGUGAAAUGGAGAAAAAAA
rnacentral:antisense_RNA from 1 species